UAGGGAAUUUUCCGCAAUGGGCGAAAGCCUGACGGAGCAACGCCGCGUGAGGGACGAAGGCCUUUGGGCUGUAAACCUCUUUUCUCAAGGAAGAAGAUCUGACGGUACUUGAGGAAUAAGCCACGGCUAAUUCCGUGCCAGCAGCCGCGGUAAUACGGGAGUGGCAAGCGUUAUCCGGAAUUAUUGGGCGUAAAGCGUCCGCAGGCGGCCAUUCAAGUCUGUUGUUAAAGCAUGGAGCUUAACUCCAUCACUGCAAUGGAAACUGUCUGGCUUGAGUGUGGCAGGGGCAGAGGGAAUUUCCGGUGUAGCGGUGAAAUGCGUAGAUAUCGGGAGGAACACCAGUGGCGAAAGCGCUCUGCUGGGCCAUCACUGACGCUCAUGGACGAAAGCCAGGGGAGCAAAAGGG
rnacentral:rRNA from 1 species